UGACCUCGGAUCAGGACGUC
rnacentral:rRNA from 1 species